GCCUUCAGGUGGGGGUUUGUGUAGCCAGUGAUUAACAGUGUAUAAAUCCUGAGGUACUGGGACUCAACUUGGACUGGGACUCAUAUUUGGGACUUGAUCCAGGGGGGACGCAAAGUUUGGCACCAUCUUCUUUUAGGUAAGCUGAGCCUGAUGUAACAUGUGGUCAACAAAAUGAUGCAAUGAUGUGAGUCCAGGUCGGCACAAAUCUAGGUACUGGUUUCAUUUUAGAUUUUAGUCGAACAAUCAUCGUCUUUACCUCCAAAUCUUUUUAUCCCAGUUUUCUGAAACUUCUCCUGCCUCUGAGCGCUGGUGAGAGGUAAAAACAGAGGGGGAGAAAAGAGGGGGGAGAGAGGAGGAAAGGGGGCGGGAGCAGAGAAACCAUUUUCUAACUGAGUGACCUGGAAAUGUCAAAGAUGAGGAGGCAGAGUUUACACACACUCACACACACACUCACACACCUUCAUCUUCUGGCAGACACAGUCUUAUAAAAUGAUCGACUUCAGACACACUGAUGAGCACACAGUUUUCAGGGUGAGACAGCCCUGCAGGUGCUUCUUCUUCUUCUUCUUCUUCUUCUUCUUCUUCUUCUUCUUCUUCUUCUUCUUCUUCUUCUUCUUCUUCUUCUUCUUCUUCUUCUUCUUCUUCUUCUUCUUCUUCUUCUUCUUCUUCUUCUCUAGUUAAAUGACUUCAGUCUUUGAAGUCAGUAAAGUACAAUUAAAAGAAAGCGGAGCGCAGGAAACUGACAUUACAUCAGCCGUUACAAAUGUUCGCACCCCAGCGGCUGCAUAUGGUGAUGAGACGCAACUGCAGGGCAUCUAACUGGCAAUUUCCACCACAUCCAGAACGGCUACGAAAAGGUCAUAUCCGCAGAUCGUAACUGAUCAUAACCAUUCAAGUUUGCGUGUCAAUUUCCACCAGAUUCUUUCGGUUCUGCUGCUAUUCAGCGGACUCCACAGUUGAUCGCAAGAGUUCUAUUUUUUUCCAAUUGCCAGAGCAUGCUGUGUAAAUACAGCACAGAUUAACCCGUACUGGAAAGGAAGUCGAGGACAGACACAAAAUAAAACAUCCGGCUUCUUUUCAAAAUAAAACUCUGUGUUUUAGGAGGAUCGUAUUUCACACCAUGCAAACAGACAGAGAUGAACAAGUGAAAGGUUUUUAGACGUCAUUUCACCCCGAUGACACCAUGGAUGAGGAGAUGCUGAUUCUAGAAGUCUAAUAGUAGAUUUCCUCCU